rnacentral:rRNA from 1 species
CCUACGGGAGGCUGCAGUGGGGAAUAUUGCACAAUGGGGGGAACCCUGAAGCAGCGACGCCGCGUGAGUGAAGAAGUCUUUCCGUAUGUAAAGCUCUAUCAGCAGGGAAGAAAAUGACGGUACCUGACUAAGCAGCCCCGGACAACUACGUGCCAGCCGCCGCGGUAACACGUAGGGGGCAAGCGUUAUCCGGAUUUACUGGGUGUAAAGGGAGCGUAGACGGUUAUGCAAGUCUGAAGUGAAAGUCCGAGGCUCAACCAUGGGAUUGCUUUGGAAACUGUAAAACUGGAGUGCAGGAGAGGUAAGCGGAAUUCCUAGUGUAGCGGUGAAAUGCGUAGAUAUUAGGAGGAACACCAGUGGCGAAGGCAGCUUACUGGACUGUAACUGACGUUGAGGCUCGAAGGCGUGGGGAGCAAACAGGAUUAGAUACCCCUGUAGUC